UUAGGAGAAACAGCUGCCUCUCCUGCUCUUGAGAGUGUGACCCUGUGUGGAAGCAUCUUCUCUGUCAUCUGCAUGUUCGAAGCAACUUUAGCAGGCCAACUGGUGCUGGAACAGAUGCAGACUGAAGGAGUCCCAGUGUCCGCUACAUUGGGCCACCUUAUUGGGAUACUGGCUCACAAUACAUUUUAAGAGGAAGUCAUCAGCAUUUUAAUCCUCUACAAGAACCAUAGACACCCACGCAGCUGUUGUCAGAAGAAAAGGUAAGAAAAACAAUUUUUUUUCCAACAGCAGAAAAGAAUUUGAAUUACUACUUCUUUUAGUCACUUAUUUUUCUCACUCAUGUGCAGUAUUUUCUUUAACUUGGGUACCGCGUUUUGGUUACUAAUAACUGCUGAUCUGUCCUGAAUGAAUGGAUUAGUUUAUAGGAAAGAUUUGCAUGAUAGAGAAUCAGUAGGGCAAGUUUAAAUCCCUUGCUGGUGUGGAGAGAGGAAACAAAUUAAUCUGGUGAUUGUUGAUAAAUUGUGAGCAGAGAAGUGAAAAAAUAUAUUUUUUUGGGGGAAAAAUGAUCGUCUGUAAUGUCAAAAGUGAAAAAUACCAGGAAAAUUCAAGUAAGGGAUCCUAAGCCUCUGCUUUAUCCCACACUCAUAAAAACUGAUUUGAGCUGAUGUUGGAUUCUAUCCAUUAAUAGAGAAAAAAUGACUUUCACAAUUAACUCCUUAUAUGAAUAAGGAGUUUUGCCCAAUAUGAAGUGGUAUACCUGGAUGUUAUAUGUGUGAGGCUACUUUAAGAGAGUCUUAACCCAUAAAUAAGGGAAAGAAGGGAGGAAAGGACAAAGACACCUUUUUCGACUGAUGUUUUUAUUGCUGCAGAUACCUAUUCUUUCCUUUCUUUCUUUCUUUCUUUCUUUCUUUCUUUCUUUCUUUCUUUCUUUCUUUUGACCUAUUCUCUUUUGAUCUUGGAACAUGAAGUGUGGUUUGUGGGAUUGAGCUGGGUUUGUUAGGGUCAUAUGUUAAAACUUAGGUAGCACUUGCUCCAGUUAUCAUUGCCUUGUUAUGGCAUAUUUUAUCAUUAGGAUUUGCAGGAUAAGCCUUAUAAAAAUUACACAUUUUAUCACCCCACAUAAAAGUGAC
rnacentral:lncRNA from 1 species